GCUUCUUUGUUGCUGCAGAAAAAUAAAGGAUGCAUGCAGUAACAGUCUCUCUCAGUCUCUGAACAUCAACCAAGGCUCUGCUACACAGCAAACAGUGAACCAGAAUGAAAC